UACAGAGGUGGCAAGCGUUGUUCGGAAUUACUGGGCGUAAAGGGCGCGUAGGCGGCCAUCUAAGUCAGACGUGAAAUCCCCCGGCUUAACCUGGGAACUGCGUCUGAUACUGGAUGGCUUGAAUUCGGGAGAGGGAUGCAGAAUUCCAGGUGUAGCGGUGAAAUGCGUAGAUAUCUGGAGGGAUACCGGUGGCGAAGGCGGCAUCCUGGACCGACAUUGACGCUGAUGAGCGAAAGCCAGGGGAGCAAACGGG
rnacentral:rRNA from 1 species